rnacentral:misc_RNA from 1 species
GAAUUUUCGCCCGAUACUUUGCGUGGUUUGAGUCCUUGACUUGGAAAUUUCUCUAACAUUGAUUAAGAGUCGCAAAAAAUGGUAACAUUUAGGAUUCUUACCUCUUUCAUAAUCUGAAGUGCCAUAAGAAACGCCUCAUAUUCUGCCACAUUAUUGGUGGCUUGGAAAGCUAACGGAGUUGCAUAAUGGAGCUUGAUGUGGCAAGGUCCUUCUAACACGAUUCCAAUCCCAGCUUCUACUGAUCCGACAGCUCCAUCCACCCAGACCUUCCAUUCUUCCUGUAUUUCUGUUUCUUCUUGUAUUGACGGUGUCAUUUCUACUACAAAAUUAGCUAAUGCCUGAGCUUUAAGAGUUGAUUCGGGAACAUAUCUAAUGUCAUAUGCACCCAAAAUCACUGAUCAUGUAGCCAAACAGCUUGAUGUCUCUGUGCGAUGCAAUAUCUUUCUCAAAGGAUAAUUGUUUUGGACUUCAUUAGUACGUGACUCAAAGUAUGGUCUCAAUUUUGUUGCUGCUGACAGUACCUGACUAUUGUAGGAUAGCUGAGUUUAGCUAUUUUCAAUACUUGACUAGUGUAGUAGAUUGGCCUCUGCUCACCAUCUUCUUACCGAACCAGAAUCGAACUAAUCGUCUCCUGAGCAGUGUUAUUAAGGCGAAAGGCGCCACAAAGGUGUGAGGCGCCACUGACGUAAUUUUUUAUAUAUAUAACAUAAAAAUAUCAUACGUUUAACUAAUUUAAUAUGUAAAAAGGAAUAUUGAAAAGAAAAAACAUGUUAUUUGCACUAUAGUAAUAUAAGAGAAAUAGAAAGUA